rnacentral:rRNA from 1 species
GACGUAGGGCGCGAGCGUUGUCCGGAUUUAUUGGGCGUAAAGAGCUCGUAGGCGGCUUGUCGCGUCGACUGUGAAAACCCGCGGCUCAACCGCGGGCCUGCAGCCGGAUACGGGCAGGCUAGAGUUCGGGUAGGGGAGACUGGAAUUCCUGGUGUAGCGGUGAAAUGCGCAGAUAUCAGGAAGAACACCCGUGGCGAAGGCGGCUCUCUGGGACGGUACUGACGCUGAGACGCGAAAGCGUGGGGAGCGAACAGG